AUUGAACGCUGGCGGCAUGCUUUACACAUGCAAGUCGAACGGCAGCACGAAAGAGCUUGCUCUUUUGGUGGCGAGUGGCGAACGGGUGAGUAUGCAUCGGAACGUACCGAGUAAUGGGGGAUAACUGUCCGAAAGGAUAGCUAAUACCGCAUACGCUUUGAGAAGGAAAGUGGGGGCUCUUCGGACCUCACGUUAUUCGAGCGGCCGAUGUCUGAUUAGCUAGUUGGUGGGGUAAAGGCCUACCAAGGCGACGAUCAGUAGCGGGUCUGAGAGGAUGAUCCGCCACACUGGGACUGAGACACGGCCCAGACUCCUACGGGAGGCAGCAGUGGGGAAUUUUGGACAAUGGGCGCAAGCCUGAUCCAGCCAUGCCGCGUGUCUGAAGAAGGCCUUCGGGUUGUAAAGGACUUUUGUUAGGGAAGAAAAGGAUAGUGUUAAUACCAUUAUCUGCUGACGGUACCUAAAGAAUAAGCACCGGCUAACUACGUG
rnacentral:rRNA from 1 species